rnacentral:pre_miRNA from 1 species
UACAAUGUUUUGACUAUUCGUCUUACUUAAAAUUAUUUUUGCGAUUAAUAUUUUUGUUCUUACUAAAUGAUAAAACAUGAAUAGUAUGCGUACUAAUUUUUUUAAGUUUUCAUACAAAAAUUUUAAAUAAGACGAAUGAUCAAACGUUAGACACGAAAA